GUAAAUAAGUACGAAUCGAGUGGUAUUGUAGCAUUCGGUAAUCCUCGGUAGAAUUUGCCACUCUCCUUCUUAGAUGAGGGUACGGAAUCAACCGAGUUGUGACGAAUGGGUAUUGUAGCUUUGCUCAAGAUAUCGUGGGUAAACGAGGAAAGGGCAGUAAUCCGUGUAAUACUUCAAAACUUUAUAUAAAACGAGAAUUCCAAGUGAAGGCCUACCUCAUUUAAUAGAAGUAUUGAUCGUUCAUGUUCACUAUUAUUUUGUAUAAUGAAAUAAGCAGAUUAAAUGGUUAUAAUUACAUUUGUUAUACAGUUGGAUAUGGUCAAAUAUAUAAAUAAUCUUUAUAAUAAAAUGAUGAAAUAUAAAUAAAUAAACUGGAUUUUUGUUUAUAGAUUCUCGUGAUUGCAUUUCUGAUUUAUGAGUAUUCGUGUAUAAUGUUUAUUUUGUGAUAAUGAUUUCAUGAAUUCCUAUCAAAUAUUUGCCGCUGGAAAUUAAGCAAA
rnacentral:lncRNA from 1 species